rnacentral:rRNA from 1 species
GCCCUUAGAGUUUGAUCAUGGCUCAGGACGAACGCUGGCGGCGUGCCUAACACAUGCAAGUCGAGGGAGAAAGUCCUCUUCGGAGGGCGAGUAAACCGGCGCACGGGUGCGUAACACGUAGGCAACCUACCCUUUGGACGGGGAUAACCUCGGGAAACCGUGGCUAAUACCCGAUGAUGCAGCGGCACCGCAUGGUGAUGUUGUUAAAUCUCUUCGGGGGCCAAGGGAUGGGCCUGCGGCCCAUUAGCUUGUUGGUGGGGUAAAAGCCCACCAAGGCGACGAUGGGUAGCUGGUCUGAGAGGAUGAUCAGCCACACUGGAACUGAGACACGGUCCAGACUCCUACGGGAGGCAGCAGUGAGGAAUAUUGCGCAAUGCCCGCAAGGGUGACGCAGCGACGCCGCGUGGAGGAUGAAGUCCGUAAGGAUGUAAACUCCUGUUGAGAGGGAAGAAUCGCCCCGCUUUCGGGGUUUGACGGUACCUCUCGAGGAAGGCCCGGCUAACUACNUGCCANCAGCCGCGGUAAUACNUANGGGCC